rnacentral:rRNA from 1 species
UACGGAGGAUGCAAGCGUUAUCCGGAAUGAUUGGACGUAAAGCGUCCGCAGGUGGCUAUGUAAGUCUGCUGUUAAAGAGUGAGGCUCAACCUCAUAAGAGCAGUGGAAACUACAUAGCUAGAGUGCGUUCGGAGCAGAGGGAAUUCCUGGUGUAGCGGUGAAAUGCGUAGAUAUCAGGAAGAACACCGGUGGCGAAAGCGCUCUGCUAGGCCGCAACUGACACUGAGGGACGAAAGCUAGGGGAGCGAAUGGG